UUCACCCAGGAUGAAGUGCUCAGUGCAAACGUGGCCCCGGGUCAGAGCACGGCUUUAAUACUUUGGGAAACCUCUUCUGUACCUUUAAGACUACCCUCUCUUUUUCCAAGCAAAAGCUCAGCUCCUUCAAGACCAUCCAAAUCUAUUUUUAGCUGUUCCACCGGGGUCUCUUUCCGAAUGCCAGCGGCCCUUUCAAUUACUACAGCUAGGAUCAAGUCCAAAACUCUCUUCAGGUGCCUUCGAAUGAACUCAGGCUGCCUUCUUCUUUUUCCUCGGAAGGCACUGCACUGAUCCUGGCUGCUCCGGGACUGUUUAACCAACUACAGCAACAUCCACCAUGGACGGGAAAGAGGUUUAUCUCAUCUCCACAUCAGAGCCUUUGACGUCCCCGUGAAAGACCUGCACUUCUCCCAGGAUCAGCCAUCACUUUGCUGCCCAAUGGGGCUGACGGCACAACAUGGAGAAGGUCAGCCCAAAGCAGAGGAUGAUGAAAGGGCCGAGUCUCCCACGGUCAAGGAGAAGAUCUCGGAAGAAACUUUGCAGCAAAAUGGGCCACUGGAGUACUCU